AGGGUUUAUAGAGUGUUGUGAGCGGCUGGGAAAUUGAAGAGAGAGAAAGGCUACCGAAAAUAACGCUUCUUUUUCUUUUUUUUUCCGUUUUAAGUUAACCUAGGUGGGUCUGUUUCGGGCCUUCCAGAUUUGGCCCAUUAAUCCCUAUCAGCACCCCCCAUACAAUUGGGUUGUCCCUUUUAGGCCUAUGCUGAUUGUUUUAGAAUUUAAUUAGAUAAUUUUUUAUUUAGAAAUAAUUGUAGAUUAAUUAGAAUUCUAUUGUGAUUUAGAUUUGUU
rnacentral:lncRNA from 1 species